ACUCCGGUGGACCAGUGGUUAGAGCAUCCGCCUUGGAUGUGGGAGGUCGUGGGUUCGAUCCCUGGUGGAGUC